AUACGGAGGGUGCAAGCGUUACUCGGAAUCACUGGGCGUAAAGCGCGCGCAGGCGGCUAUUUAAGUUGGAUGUGAAAGCCUACGGCUCAACCGUAGAACUGCAUCCAAAACUAUUUAGCUAGAGUGUGGGAGAGGAAGAUGGAAUUAGUUGUGUAGGGGUAAAAUCCGUAGAGAUAACUAGGAAUACCAAAAGCGAAGGCAAUCUUCUGGAACACUACUGACGCUGAGGCGCGAAAGCGUGGGGAGCAAACAGGAGUAGAAUCCCUAGUAGUCC
rnacentral:rRNA from 1 species